rnacentral:rRNA from 1 species
AUAGCUUUAGGGCUAGCCUCAAGGUGAGAGAUACGGAGGUAGAGCACUGAAUGUCCUAGGGGGUAUUGCACCUACCGAAGACUAUCAAACUCCGAAUGCCGUCAUCUUAUACUUGGGAGUCAGACUGUGGGUGAUAAGAUUCAUAGUCGAAAGGGCAACAGCCCAGAUCGUCAGCUAAGGUCCCUAAAUGUAAGUUAAGUGGUAAAGGAUGUGGGAUUGCACAGACAACCAGGAUGUUGGCUUAGAAGCAGCCACUCAUUCAAAGAGUGCGUAAUAGCUCACUGGUCGAGUGAUCCUGCGCCGAAGAUUUCCGGGGCUAAAACUUACUACCGAAGCUACGGCAUCAGUAAUGAUGGGUAGGGGAGCUUCCCAUACGGGUGGAAGCAUGACCGUAAGGACAUGGGGACAGUAUGGGAGUGAGAAUGUUGGCAUGAGUAGCGAGAUGUGGGUGGGAAUCCCACAGGCCGUAAACCCAAGGUUUCCAGGGGAAGGUUCGGCCGCCCUGGGUUAGUCGGGACCUAAGCUGAGGCCGAAAGGCGUAGGUGAUGGACAACAGGUUGAUAUUCCUGUACUACCGAUAACCGUUUGAGAGAAGGGAUGACACAGUAGGAUAAGCUAAGCACA